CAGUGGAGCUUCAUCGGGGCGGUUGAGUUUUCUUCAAUCUUCGUCAAUUUUCUUCUUUUUAAUUCAAUUGGAAACAGAGAACCCUUCUUCCCACUUCCCAGUAUCGCCAUUGAUUCAAAAUCCCAAUCCUUCUGCAUUCAAUUGGCAUCCAAUUUUCGAUAUCUGAAGUAUCGUUUCUUUCUUUCGGGUGCUGAGGAUCCAAGCUCUCAUGGCAUCCAAGAAGAAACAAUCUGAAGGAAUAGCUUUACUCUCGAUGUACAAUGAUGAGGAUGAUGAAAUGGAAGACGUUGAAGACCUAGAAGAAGAAGAAGAUGGUGAACUCCAUCCGCAACAGAUGGAAGAAGAGGGAGGAGAGGAAGAUUAUGCUGGAGUUAGGGUUGCAGAAGAAGAGUUGGUUGCAAACAGUGAUAGAAUGAUUAUCAGUGAUUCUGCUAAUGAUUCGACGCCGCCGGUUGCUGGUGAAAAUUUGACUCCGGAUAAGCUCAAAUUCGGGUCAUCCACACCGCAGCCACCCCAGGUUGUGGUUUCAUCGUCGCCAAUGGUAUUACAAAUUGGGCAAUUAGAUAAUUCUGGUAGGAGAAGGGGAACACUUGCGAUAGUUGAUUACGGUCAUGAUGAAGCCGCAAUGUCUCCCGAGGCUGAGGAUGGAGAAAUUGAGGAAUCUGGUCGUGUCACAUUUGGUGAUGAGCUUUUAGGCACUAAUGGUGAUUUUGAUAGAUCAUCUCCAGGAACUGUAAUGAUCUCAACAUCAAACAAUCUAUCCACUCCUCAAAUUUCUGAAUCACCACAUUCUGGUUCAAUGAACAAUGUGAUGCCAGAAUCUGAAACUGAAAAAGUUGAGGAAACUGUUGAAGAAGAGAAAAAAGAUAUUGAUCCCUUGGACAAGUUUCUUCCUCCUCCACCAAAAGAAAAAUGCUCAGAGGAUCUACAGAGGAAAAUCAAUAAGUUUCUCGAGUAUAAGAAAGCUGGAAAAAGCUUCAAUGCAGAAGUACGGAAUAGGAAGGAUUACCGGAAUCCAGAUUUCUUGUUACAUGCUGUGAGGUAUCAAGAUAUUGACCAGAUUGGGUCUUGCUUCAGUAAGGAAGUGUUUGACCCUCAUGGAUAUGAUAAAAGUGACUACUAUACGGAAAUAGAGGCUGACAUGAAACGUGAGAUGGAGAGGAAGGAGCUGGAAAGGAAGAAAAGUCCGAAGAUGGAGUUUGUUACAGGAGGAACACAACCUGGUGGUACAGUUGUGACUGCUCCUAAAAUAAAUAUACCCUUUUCAGGUGUUUCAGCUAUCACAACUAGUGGACUACAUUCAGCAGCUCCUGCAUCUGAUGCCAUUCCUAGGGAUGGAAGACAAAACAAAAAAUCAAAAUGGGAUAAGGUAGAUGGAGAUAGAAGGAAUCCAGUAAUUUCUGGUGGGUCAGAUGCAGCUAGUGCCCAUGCAGCUUUACUAUCUGCUGCUAAUGUUGGCUCUGGAUACAUGGCUUUUGCGCAACAAAGACGGCGAGAGGCUGAAGAAAAAAGAUCCGGUGAGAGGAAAUUGGAUAGAAGAUCGUAAAAGCAAAAAAAUCUGUUCCGUAGUUUUAAGUAUUGAAUGAUUUUGAAAAGCAAGGGAAAUGGCUUGUAGCUUCAUAGCUUUGACUAACCAUGUAUACGGUCAGAACAAAAAUGUAAUACUUCAGUAUUAGUUCCCUCUUGCAAAUUUAUUAUUUAUUUGCUAAUUAACUCAUUUUUUCCAUUAAAUUUCUUGACUUGUAAAGAUGAUCAGGGGGAAAAGUGGAAACGAAAUUGCACCAGAGCGAAGGAGGAGGCUCCUUUUUCUGUGGUGGUUGCAUAUUUUCAACACAAGUACGUGUGGGUCAGCUUGAAAAGGUAAGCCAUCGGCACCCGAGAAAUGGUUUGAAGUUCCUUUUCUCUUUUCCCUCUAAUCGAGAGAAUAUGCAAUGGGAUUCUUUGGAAUUGGAAGGCCAAAGACUGUUUAUUCUCCUCUCAUUUUCUAACCAACAAUACUUUGGUGUAUCUAGUGAUGAACUCAUGUUCGGACAUUCUACUUUAAUAAAAGAAAAGAGGUAUUUUAUAA